CCUGCGGCGGCUUAAUACAUGCAAGUCGAACGGUAACAGGCCUGGCAACAGGCGCUGACGAGUGGCGCACGGGUGCGUAACACGUAUGCAACCUACCCUGUACUGGGGGAUAACCCUGAGAAAUCGGGGCUAAUACCCCAUGGUAAUAUAGAUGGGCAUCCAUUUAUAUUUAAAGAUUCAUUGGUACGGGAUGGGCAUGCGCCCCAUUAGUUAGUUGGUGAGGUAACGGCUCACCAAGGCAUUGAUGGGUAGGGGUUCUGAGAGGAUUACCCCCCACACUGGUACUGAGACACGGACCAGACUCCUACGGGAGGCAGCAGUAAGGAAUAUUGGGCAAUGGAGGCAACUCUGACCCAGCCAUGCCGCGUGCAGGAAGACUGCCCUAUGGGUUGUAAACUGCUUUUUCAGGGGACUAACCGUGGUUACGUGUAACCAUCUGCAUGUACCCUGAGAAUAAGCAUCGGCUAACUCCGUGCCAGCAGCCGCGGUAAUACGGAGGAUGCGAGCGUUAUCCGGAUUUAUUGGGUUUAAAGGGUGCGUAGGCUGACAUGUAAGUCAGUGGUGAAAGACCCCGGCUUAACCGGGGGGUUGCCAUUGAAACUGUAUGUCUUGAGUGUAAUCGAAGUGGGCGGAAUGAGGGGUGUAGCGGUGAAAUGCAUAGAUAUUCCUCAGAACACCGAUAGCGAAGGCAGCUCACUAGCUUACAACUGACGCUGAGGCACGAAAGCGUGGGUAUCAAACAGGNAUUAGAUACCCUGGUAGUCCACGCUGUAAACGAUGA
rnacentral:rRNA from 1 species